rnacentral:rRNA from 1 species
UAGGGAAUCUUCCGCAAUGGACGCAAGUCUGACGGAGCAACGCCGCGUGAGUGAAGAAGGAUUUCGGUUCGUAAAACUCUGUUGUUAGAGAAGAACAGCGCAUAGAGUAACUGUUAUGCGUGUGACGGUAUCUAACCAGAAAGCCACGGCUAACUACGUGCCAGCAGCCGCGGUAAUACGUAGGUGGCAAGCGUUGUCCGGAUUUAUUGGGCGUAAAGCGAGCGCAGGCGGUCAAUUAAGUCUGAUGUGAAAGCCCCCGGCUCAACCGGGGAGGGUCAUUGGAAACUGGUUGACUUGAGUGCAGAAGAGGAGAGUGGAAUUCCAUGUGUAACGGUGAAACGCGUAGAUAUAUGGAGGAACACCAGUGGCGAAGGCGACUCUCUGGUCUGUAACUGACGCUGAGGCUCGAAAGCGUGGGUAGCAAACAGG